rnacentral:rRNA from 1 species
GUGACACGUGCAGCUGACGAAUACUAAUCGAUCGAGGACUUAACUAAAUAACAAAAGUGGAAACGACCACAACAGUGGGAGUUGAAACUGGAUGAUAUUCUAACGUUUGAUACCCUUGUCUUUCUUAUCUAGUUUUGAAGGUACAUGCCUUUAAAACAAAGGUUUAGUGACAAUAGCGAAGAGGUCACACCUGUUCCCAUGCCGAACACAGCAGUUAAGCUCUUCAGCGCCAAUGGUAGUUGGGGCUUUGCCCCUGCAAGAGUAGGACGUCGCUAAGC